UACAGAGGAGCCAAGCGUUGUCCGGAUUGACUGGGCGUAAAGCGUGCGCAGGCGGUUGUGCAAGACCGAUGUGAAAUCCCCGGGCUCAACCUGGGAAUGGCAUUGGUGACUGCACGGCUAGAGUGUGUCAGAGGGGGGUAGAAUUCCACGUGUAGCAGUGAAAUGCGUAGAGAUGUGGAGGAAUACCGAUGGCGAAGGCAGCCCCCCUGGGAUAACACUGACGCUCAUGCACGAAAGCGUGGGGAGCAAACAGG
rnacentral:rRNA from 1 species